rnacentral:rRNA from 1 species
GCCUACGGGGGGCAGCAGUGGGGAAUAUUGCGCAAUGGGCGAAAGCCUGACGCAGCGACGCCGCGUGAGGGAUGGAGGUCUUCGGAUCGUAAACCUCUGUCAGCAGGGAAGAACGGUCACUGUGCUAAUCAGCAGUGAAUUGACGGUACCUGCAAAGGAAGCACCGGCUAACUCCGUGCCAGCAGCCGCGGUAAUACGGAGGGUGCGAGCGUUAAUCGGAAUUACUGGGCGUAAAGCGCUCGUAGGCGGUAUGUCAAGUCAAGUGUGAAAUCCCCGCGCUCAACGUGGGAACUGCCUUUGAAACU